UCUCUCUAUCCACCUUCAAAUUGUCUGAAAUAUUGGAGGAAAACAAAAAUAUCAUGGUAACAUUUACUUACUGUAAAUCUGUAUUGAAUUGCGCUAGAAAAUAGUGUUGUGGAUGGUUCCAACUACUGUCCUCUUAGAUACUCACUUUGAAAAGCUUCUCUGGAUUUCAGACCCGGCCGGACAUCCUCGUGAUCGUUUGAUCUCCAUAGAGGAUUGUUCAAGAGGACUCUCAACUCGACAGCAUUAGUUGGGUGGCAAAGCAUGGGAUAUGAUGCUCCCACUGUACUGCAACUAAAUCAAGUGUGAAUAGUCUUUCAUUGACAAGGAAUUAGCUGGGUUAGGUAUAACGGAAAUCAUUGAUAAGGAAAAGCAUCAAAGCAAAUCAAAGUUCUUCAUAAGAUGUCAUCACACCCCGUUUA